ACGAGGGUCUUUAUUUCUCCGUCCCGUGGGCGGAUGGCGAAAAGUUUGAUUUUGCAACAACAAAGAAACUUUUGUUUCCAUAAGUUGCUCUGGGAGGAAGAGAGAGAGAGACGCGAGAUAGAGACGUCGAAGAGUUAGAUGAUUGUGAUCAUCCUGGUGGAAAUAUUCAUAACAAGACGUUCCUAACAGUUCUUGAGAGAAAACAUUCUACCUGCUCUGGAGAUCAUCGCCCUCAGUGUCACAGGUAUAUCUAGGGAAAGAGAAUUUAAAUUCAUCAGAAGAACGAAAAAUCAGUACAACUGAAAAUAAAUCAUGAUUUGAAGAUGAAGGAUCUUGCAGAGGUGACUAAACUCCUUAGAGACAAUACAAGGUAGAUUCGCGUGAUUGAGAUGAACUAGAAAGCAGGAAAUAAAAGCCAGCUGAUGGUCGGAGCUACCGGUUCACCCGAACCAAUCCGAACCAGAUGAAUUCCACCUCUGAUUGCAGUGUCCCAGCGUCGCUUGAUCCCGUUUUGCGACCUUCUGACCAGCAAAAUCAACGAGGGAGCCAGAUUCAUUUAACAACCGUGCUACUCACUUACCCACCGCAGUGAUUCACUUAACAACCGUGGAAAGUAAGGUCGUAAAACGGGGCAAAACUCACUUAGCAAAUGUCUCGCUUAGCCACAUAAAUUUUGGGCUCACUUGUGGCCGUACAAGUGAGGGCUACCUGUAACGCAAAGCACGUUUCCUUCGGAGAUGGAGUUUAUUUCAUAAACUCAAAAAUAAAAUUGACCAUGGGGCUAUGAAAAAGAGCAAGAUCCCAAUCCUCUAGCAGAAGAGCCACAUGCGGCUCCAGAGCCACAGGUUGCUGAUCCCUGCCCUAAACCAUUCCAGACAAUCAUAUAACAGAUUCUUCCAGGAAGUUUAAAGGUCUAGAUGUGAAACAUCUGUUUUUCCGCCUCUGGAUUCCUUUCCUGCCCUUUCUCCUUCCCUAUCACACACACACACACACUUUGAAGGGGCGGAGUGCAGUUAGGUUAGUGUUGUGGCCCGCCAGCAGCCUACGC